AGAAGAUGGAUGGAUGUCAAGACAGAUGGUGGAAAAGUUGUGAGGUGCAAAGCCUCAUGGUACAGCAGUCACCUUGCAAUCAUGAAGAUAAAAGCCACAAAGAAUGGUAGCUCAGAAGGUGGAAGGACUCUGCAUAGUUGAAGACACUAUGAUUAGAUGUAUCAGCCCUGGACUUAAGUACCUCUGCUUUUCUUAAUAGGAGAAAAAUAACCCUCUUCCUUCCUUAUGCCAAUCUUCUCGAGUUCCUUGCUACUUGCAGCUGAGUCCACUCUUGACUGAUAUCACCUAAUCUCAGUCGCUAUCAGAUUAAACAACAGCAUUACUUUCAGAGGGCCACCAAGAAAAAAUUGCCUGGGAGAAGAGUAAGGAGCCUGAAGAUCUGACUAACUUUCUCUGUAGCCCUUUACCGAAUAGCAGAUUAGCUGAGCUCAUAUGAUCGUAUCAACUAGUCAUCACCUUGAUUAG
rnacentral:lncRNA from 10 species